AUUUUCUAAAUUUUAAAACUUCUUUGAGUUUCUCUUGUAUCCAAAGAAAAUUUGUAAACAAUUUUAAUUUCCGCAACUCAUUUAGAGAGGUGUUUGCGUAUAUCAACUUCUCAGUUCAGUCAUCCGUUCCCCAAUCAUUUGGAAGGUUUACACUUGCUUUCAGGGAGGGUUUGUCUUGGGCAGUGAAUAGGGGUUUUCAAAACUUGUCUUUUGAAAGUGAUUCAUUUUAGAUUGUGGAGGCGGUGAAGAAUCCAAUCCUAAAUUUGUCAUCAGUUGGGCAAAUUGUGGAGGAUAUCAAAGCAUUACUCCAAUCAAUCACUGAAGCUACUGUUACCCAUACUCGUCGCAAUGCAAACUCUGUCACUCAUCACCUUGUGCGGACCGGACUCUCUUUGAGCCAAAGCUGUGAAUGGCAUGGUUCUCCUCGAAGUAUUCUUAUUGAUAUACUUGUAGAAGAAUGUGUUAGGCAUUGAUUAAAAAAUUGUACAUUGUUUCUACUCUUUUUGAUGAAAUGAAAUCUACUUUCGUGUCUUUCAAAAAAAAAAAAAAAAA